rnacentral:snRNA from 1 species
GUGCUCGCUUCGACAGCACAUAUACUAAAAUUGGAACGAUACAGAGAGAUCAGCAUGGCCCCUGCGCAAGGAUGACACGCAAAUUUGUGAAGUGUUCCAUAUUUUU